rnacentral:siRNA from 1 species
UGGAAGAGACUAUGUCUUGCCUA